GAUGAACGCUGGCGGCGUGCCUAAUACAUGCAAGUCGAGCGAACAGAUGAGGAGCUUGCUCCUCUGACGUAACCGCCGGCGGGUGAGUAACACCUUGAUUACCUACCUUUAAGACUUGGGUUACUUCCGGAAACCCGAGCUAAUUCCCGGUAAUUUAUUUAACCGCAUUGUUUCAUUAUUAAAGACGGUUUUUCUUUCCCUUUUAGAUUGAUCCGCGCCGCAUUAGCUAGUUGGUAAGGUAACGGCUUACCAAGGCAACGAUGCGUAGCCGACCUGAGAGGGUGAUCGGCCACACUGGAACUGAGACACGGUCCAGACUCCUACGGGAGGCAGCAGUAGGGAAUCUUCCGCAAUGGGCGAAAGCCUGACGGAGCAACGCCGCGUGAGUGAUGAAGGUCUUCGGAUCGUAAAACUCUGUUAUUAGGGAAGAACAAAUGUGUAAGUAACUAUGCACGUCUUGACGGUACCUAAUCAGAAAGCCACGGCUAACUACGUG
rnacentral:rRNA from 1 species